CAAACACGGAGCGAAUGUUUUGCCGCAUGCACACGUGAUUUACUUUAAUAGUGUCGAGGGGGUGUCCGGCAAACACGAGGCAGACGCCACCGAAACCUCCAGCGAAGAAGUUCUUCAUUGGGCUGAUCGGCUGCGGCUGUUUCGACAUUUUGACUUUCCGCUUUGGAGAUAUAGUAAUAGAAACAAAGACUAUUAGGACGUGAGGAUCAGUAGUUUGCAGUAUACAUGCAGCGAAACAAAACGGACGUCAGUUAGCUCACCUGGUCGGGCACAGCUAUGAGCGGAAAUGUCUGUCAAGUGCUUUGCCGUCUUACCGAUGGACCUUUCACCUACUUGUAGACCCGGACGGAUUUGACUACAACACACAGCGAGUCUGCGCACCCUUCAUCCUCCCCGGGGUCUUCCUCCUCCCCGAGAAUCCUCUGCAGCGCUCCUUGCAGGUCAGAAAGGCGGUGACGGUGCUCCAGGUAAUCCGUAGAGCGCACGAUGGAGUGCAUGAGGGAGAGGUACUCCAUGCGGAGCUUUCGAUGAAGAUAGUGAGAGAGAAGAACAUUUAUGUGACAAUUUUCACAGAAAAAUCUUCUCUUGCUGGGUAACACACAGUGAAUCCAGAAAAUGAACCACUUUUUUACAAGAUCAGACAUUUCUGAUGCAAAAAUAAGACCAUGACACAUUAUUUAUUUAUGUUGAAAAAAAAUUUGAAUUAUAACCUGUAAAAGUCAGUAAAAACAAAAAACACACAUUCAGUCUUUUUAGGUAGAAUGACAUAUCUUGGCUUGCGCUGUUAAAUUAUCGAACAUUAAAAUAGUUUUUCCUCAUAGUUUUAAUAAUGAUAAUAAAUUUAAUUGCUUUUGACAAUAACUCACACGGUUAUACUGCCUUGAAGUGAGGUGUUAGGAGUCACGUUUUACUUCACUUACCAAAUAUAAUUCAUUGCUCUAUAAAGGGCCUAGUUUGAAGCUUGAUUCUAAAAAUAAGAAACAAAUAUACUGUGUAAGACUCCAUUUAUUUCCCGAAACAGUUACUUUGAAGCUUGAGUCUAAAUACCACGGUAAAACCUUCUCUUUUCCUAUAACAUUCAAAUUUGAAUCAAUUUUAUGAGCUUAAGUGUUUGCCUGAAAACACAAGCAGCCUAUGGAAUGAUCAAAGUGAUGUUAAGCAUCUUUGAGUGUCCUCCCAGGUCACCUUGUCUCCGGGUGAAAGGUCAGAGAUCUGCCGCACGGCUAUGUCAAUCAUCACCAUCAUGUCGGUACGGUAGAAGAUGUCGGCCGUCUCUCGACUGGCAAAGACGUCCUGCAGAAACUUGAGCACGGCGUGAGGCGCGGGCGGCAUGUGCUUGAACAUACACACGGGGUCAUCUGCAGAGGAGUGAACGCACAGAGACGGUCGUGUGGAACACAGGAGGACGGACGGGAACAAAACAAGCACGUACCUCCUCGGUUGAGCAGCAGCAGGACCUUCUCGGUCAGAAUCUUGACGUUCUUCUUCUUCAGCUGCUCCAUGAUGACGUUGCUGCUCGGCGCUGCAUGACAAAAACAUUCCAGCUGUCAGCGGUCACCUGUGUGGUGAAGGUUGAAGGCCAGCACGAGGUUGAGGAAGAGGUCAGGCAGCUGCUCCGUGGGGUCACAGGGAUGUCCGUCCUCCACCACAUUCAGCAGGAACUGCACAAAGUCGCCAUUCAAGUGCUCUGAAAGCGAGGCGGAAGAGCACUGCGUCAACAGGACACCAGACACUGUGCUUUUUUGCAACACUGUCACACUUCAGCAUCCUUGUACUUUGGCACAUGUUAACUUGCCCAAACACGGAUUCACAAAAACAUUUGGAAAUGUGUCUUGUCUGGACCAUUACAUUGUAGAGUGCACACUGGGGCGCAAUGUCACAGGAUUUAGUUAUUAAUUGGGAUUACAUUUAUUUAUUGCAUUUUCUGCAGCAGACUGUAUACAAGGUAUAUGUGGGUGACAACCUAUAAAACAGUAAAUACAAGGAUAGCUGUACCAUUAAAUAGGAUUCCAUUACAUUCAGAUUUUUAUGUGCAACUCCACAGUGUUAUACAAUUCAUGGUUCCUCUGAAUGCAUGCUGUACAGGUAUAACUAUGUGUCUGACAAAGUAUCUUGUUUGAAAAAAGGAGGAAAGAAAUUGCUAGAUUUUGUUUUUUUUCUGAUUACAAUGGCAAAUCUCUCGACUUAUUUCAAGUGAAAUUUUGCAAGUUGAAACAAACAUUGUCUAAAAACAAGUUACUUUUUCACAAGAUGUCUUUUUUAAGUGUGAUUAGUCUUAUUUUAAGUGUAAUCAAAUUAGUUUUGCCUAGAAGUAAGACAAAUAUCCUUAGAAGAUUGAGUUUCUGUAGUGUACUUACUGUUUUUCAUCUGAUUGCUUUAUAUUUAUGGCCUAGAAGUCCUUAAUACCAAUAUUUACUGUAAUGAUGACUUUUACUGAACUCUGUCAGAAACGGAGAUGUCCGUGUACAUACUCAUCAUCAACAAGUGCCCUACCAUAGUGAUGAUAUGGCACCUGUUCCCCCAUUGAGAAAAUCAUAGUAAGUACCAAGGCUGUGUAACACAUCUUCUGAUGCUCUGAGCAAUGAGAAACAAAGAGACAACACAAAUGAGUCAUGAAUAUGUGUACCGUACAUACGAGAUCACUAAAGCAAUAAUAACCUUGCGUGUCCGUCUGUAAGUCCCUGGCGAGCUCCAUAGGGAGGAUGGAGUUGAGGAGGCUGGAGAUGAGCGCAGCAUCCAGACUGCACAUGGCGCCAAACACUUUAAGCAGCAGCAGCCGCAAAGACACUCGAAGCUCCUGCGAGGUCAGACUGAUUUGUCACUCGUGGUUCUCCGAGAUGAUUUUGAAGCGUAUCAACAACGGGAUGAGGGAGGAAGCCAGUGGACAAGGAGGACAUACACGUACCGCCUACAUAUCUGAUGUGGCAUCUGUAAAGCUGAUGUUCAUGGUGGAGGAUUUUGUUUUUAUAUUACUUGUAAAUAUAAAUGCAUAGUAAAUACAUUAUACAAACUAUAAUACAGUACAUAGGACCCCCACAUACUCACGGUUCGGCACCCGCGGAUACACAUUUGCUGAUUUUUUUCUCUCAAUAUUUUUCCACCUUUUUCUUUCUUUUCGGGGGGGACCAACCCCCAAACACUUAUUGGUGGCUUAUCCCUGCUUAUUCAAGAAUU